ACGCACGCUGGCGGCGUGCUUAACACAUGCCGGUCGCACGGAAAGGCCCUGCUUUUGUGGGGUGCUCGAGUGGCGAACGGGUGAGUAACACGUGAGUAACCUGCCCUUGACUUUGGGAUAACUUCAGGAAACUGGGGCUAAUACCGGAUAGGAGCUCCUGCUGCAUGGUGGGGGUUGGAAAGUUUCGGCGGUUGGGGAUGGACUCGCGGCUUAUCAGCUUGUUGGUGGGGUAGUGGCUUACCAAGGCUUUGACGGGUAGCCGGCCUGAGAGGGUGACCGGCCACAUUGGGACUGAGAUACGGCCCAGACUCCUACGGGAGGCAGCAGUGGGGAAUAUUGCACAAUGGGCGGAAGCCUGAUGCAGCAACGCCGCGUGCGGGAUGACGGCCUUCGGGUUGUAAACCGCUUUCGCCUGUGACGAAGCGUGAGUGACGGUAAUGGGUAAAGAAGCACCGGCUAACUACGUG
rnacentral:rRNA from 1 species